AUUCCUCUCACAUGCAUUCCUUUUUGUGCUUUAUGUGAUUCUGUUUUUGUUCUAAUGCAUGCAAUAGACUUCAUUUGAUAAACGCAAUAAUAGGAACUGGCUUCUAUGGUGUACGAGACAAGCUCAAGCACUACAAGGACACAAUGGGCAUUGUCUAAUGAGUUGUGGAAAUAGGGCAUACCAUUAAGUAUUAUAACCAUCAGAAGGUAAUGAUGGGGCAAAACUUCUCUAGGAAAGGACUUGCCAUCCCCUUCCAAUACAACUCGGCGUCACCGGGUAAGACGCUGAUACAUUACAAGGCAGAUCUCAGCUGAACUCUCCCUCCCCGCCCUGGAGUCCAAGCGUUUGUGGCCUACAUCCGUGAGCUCCAUGUCUCCGUCCCUCCAUCGAGCAGCGGCACACACACAAGGGGAUCAAGCCCAACCAAAUGGACGAUGCUCCUUCCUGCCACACCCCUGUGUCCCGUUCAGAUUACAGGUUGCAUGUAUGAAUAUCCAAGUGGGAUACUUGAUCUAUUUAGUGAAACAAGACGUGUUUAUAUAUGUCAAAAUGUCUGUUGGAGAGGCACAAAAGCGCAAAGGUCAAGAUGUGUAAGGAUUUAAUCAAGGAGACAACCCGGUAGAGCUAUCAAGUGUUAGGGUAUAGCCUAACUAAGUAGGUUUAUUAUCUCCCAUUGCAUCUCUCUUGAUCAAGACAUGCCAUGACCUGGUUUAUUGUAUUUGUUAUGUUAUAAUGGAUUGUCUUGGCUUUCUUUUGGACUAAAGCCUUUUGUAGUUGUCUGGAUCAAUUGCUAUGUACUGGAUGUGUAUGUAUCGAUGCAAUGCUUCUGAUAUAAACUUGAUAUAUUAGAUUGGUAAA